rnacentral:misc_RNA from 1 species
UUGAAGGAAGAAACCCUAAUUUCAUGUUUCUUGGGAAACGAAAAAAAAAAAGAAAAGGAAAAAAGAAAUAUAGAGAGAAAGAAAUAUGUCUUUCAAGGAAUAAAGAAAGAAAAAGAACAUAAGGGAGAGAAUGAGAAGAGAAUUUGGAUUCUUAAAAGAAAAAAGAGUAAAAACAAGGUUCUACUGAGAAGAAGAAAUAGAGCAAGAAAUAGUAGGGAAAGAAAGGGAAGAAAUUUCUGGGAAAGAAGGGAAGAAAAUUUAGGGUAAGAAGGAAGAAGAAAUUG